AUUGAACGCUGGCGGCAUGCCUAACACAUGCAAGUCGAACGGGGCAGCAAUGCCUAGUGGCGGACGGGUGAGGAAUACGUAGGAAUCUGCCCUUAAGUGGGGGAUAGCCAGGGGAAACCCUGACUAAUACCGCAUGAUCUCUUCGGAGCAAAGAGGGGGACCGCAAGGCCUCUCGCUUCUGGAUGAGCCUACGUCUGAUUAGCUAGUUGGUAGGGUAAAGGCCUACCAAGGCGACGAUCAGUAACUGGUCUGAGAGGAUGAUCAGUCACACCGUAACUGAGACAAGGUCCGGACUCGUACGGGAGGCAGCAGUAGGGAAUAUUGGACAAUGGGCGCAAUCCUGAUCCAGCAAUGCCGCGUGUGUGAAGAAGGCCUUCGGGUUGUAAAGCACUUUCGGUGGGGAGGAGGAUUCAUAGGUUAAGAGCUAAUGGAUUGGACGUUACCCACAAAAGAAGCACCGGCUAACUCCGUGCCAGCCGCCGCAGUAAAAC
rnacentral:rRNA from 1 species